rnacentral:rRNA from 1 species
UACAGAGGGUGCAAGCGUUAAUCGGAAUUACUGGGCGUAAAGCGCGCGUAGGCGGCUGUCUAAGUCGGGUGUGAAAGCCCCGGGCUCAACCUGGGAACUGCAUUCGAUACUGGACGGCUAGAGUAUGAGAGAGGGAGGUAGAAUUCCACGUGUAGCGGUGAAAUUCGUAGAUAUUCGGAAGAACACCAGUGGCGAAGGCGGCUCACUGGCCCGUUACCGACGCUCAGGCGCGACAGCGUGGGGAGCAAACAGG